UUUCCGUAGGUGAACCUGCGGAAGGAUCAUUAAUAAAUGGUCUACGUCUUUUAAGUAGACGCUUAAUAAUCCUACCCUUUGUGAAUUUGUUUGUUUGAAAUAAUUUUUUUAAAAUUAUUGAAUGUCUUUCCCUGUUGAAUUGGUUGUCUUUAAUGGCAAGUGAUUCGCAGGGGAGUGUCAAUAAUUUUUAAAAAGACCUUUUUUAAAAUUAAACUUUUUGUAUUCAUUUGUCUAAAAAUUAUUUUUAUAAUAUAAAAACAACUUUUGACAAUGGAUCUCUUGGUUCUCGCAACGAUGAAGAACGCAGCAAAAUGCGAUAAGUAGUGUGAAUUGCAGAAUACGUGAAUCAUCGAAUCUUCGAACGCAUAUUGCACUUUUUUAGUUUACUAAAAAAGUAUGUCUGUUUGAGUAUCAGUAAAAUAUUCUCAUAAAAACUUUUUGUUUUUAUGGUUAUGAGUGUUUACAACGAUACAAGUUGUUUCACUUUAAAUUUUUUUAAAAUUUGAAUUUUUCUAAUUUUAAAAUAAAAUUGGAUAAAAUUUUCCCGUAAAAAGGAAUAACCUAAACAAUUUUAAUUUUUGAUUAGAAUUCUUCAUUCUAAAGGAAAAUUUAACUAAAUAACUUGAUCUCAAAUCAGAUAAGAGUACCCGCUGAACUUAAGCAUAUCAAUAAGCGGAGGAAAAGAAACUAACAAGGAUUCCCUUAGUAACGGCGAGUGAAGCGGGAAGAGCUCAAAUUUGAAAUCUUCAAGGUUUUACCUUGACGAAUUGUAGUUUAAAGAAGUGUUUUCUGUUGAAGUUUUGGUAAAAGUUCUUUGGAAUAGGACAUCAUAGAGGGUGAGAAUCCGUAUUUGACCAUUAUUUACAGCUGUGUGAUACACUUUCAAAGAGUCGGAUUGUUUGGGAAUGCAGUCCAAAAUGGGUGGUAAAUUUCAUCUAAAGCUAAAUAUUGGCGAGAGACCGAUAGCGAACAAGUACCGUGAGGGAAAGAUGAAAAGAACUUUGAAAAGAGAGUUAAACAGUACGUGAAAUUGUCAAAAGGGAAGCGUUUGACACCAGUGUUGUUUCCUCGAAAUCAAUUAAAAAGAGUUGGAUUUUGUGUUGUAUUGACCUUAACAGCUUGCUUCACUCUUUUCCAGCUUUUUUUUAAUGCACUUUUCGUUUAACAAGUCAACAUCAGUUUCUUUUGUUGUAAAAGGGUCAUUGGAAGGU
rnacentral:misc_RNA from 1 species